UUGGCGACUAGGAUCAGUCCAUCGUUCAUGAUUACAGAAUUUCUCCACCCCCAUCCCAGGAUGGGAUCAGUUCUACUGGUACUUUUUUGUUUUUUUAAUUGUCAUCAUAUGGUAAAAUUGGCUUUGGAGCAUGUGUACAGUUCUCUGAGUUUUAAUGCAUGUGUUACAUUUGUAACCAUCACCACAGUCAAGAUGCAGAACAGAUCCAUCACUUCCAAAAGCUCCGUAUUUGCUCUGCUUUAUGGUCACCCUCUCCCCCUACCCAACCCCGACAACGACUGUUCUGUUCUGCAACAUGAUGGUUCUUUUGAGAGCUUCAUGUACAUGCAAUCGUGUAAUACGUAACAUUUUGAGACUGGCCGUUUUCACGCAGCAUCAUGCCCAUGAAUAUAUUUCUCAGCCUCCUGGGGACUUGUUGAGAAGAAUAGUUAAGUGGCUUUUGUUUUGCUGGGAGUAUGGGCAGGGGAAGAAACGACAGGAAUGUGGUGGUGGAUCCUGAGGACCAGAACGGGGAGUGGGGACUUCAGCGGGCUCUGGGAGAGAAGACUGGAGGGAGGCCAGGUGAAGUUUCCUCCUCUCGGUGUGUGGUGUAAACUUCUUUCGAUUUUUCCCUAAGAAAUUUUCAGUACCGUUGGGUCACAGAGUUGCACUUAUUUGGAGGAUAUGCCCACAGUCAACCUUCUGCUCCAAGAUGCACCCCGGACCGUGGACAGACUGCUCGUCGGGUUCCCAGAUGCAAGCUUCAGGGGAGCAACUUUUGGCUUAAUGAAACAGAAAACAGUGGAAUGAAAGGAAUAGGAGGGCGGUCGCCUCCCUGUUUCUGAAAAGCAAUGACACAGGCUGGCCAAGUGCUAUGCCCUUGGGCUGGGAGAGGGCCUGGUGAGCCCUGCCCAGCUCUUGGAAAGGCACGACUCCCUGACCAAACCCAGCAGUUUGUGCACGUGUGUGGGGGUGUGAGUGUAAUGGGACCAAAGGUGGGGCUGCACGCCCCGGCCUUCCCAGCUAGGCUCCCGCAAGCACGGGCCCACCUUUGACCUUCCCGAGAUGACGGCUAUAGGAUGGCUUUGCAAACUACAAACUACCGUGGUCCUUUCAUGGUCACUGGCCCUCUCUGCCCCUUCCUGGCCACAGGAGCUACAAGAUAAUUAAAAAAGAGGGGGCGGUGGGGAGGCCAACCUGUUUUCCCGCUGGCAAGGAUGCAUUGCCAUGUUCCUCCGGUUACCGCCAGAGCGGAGCACACGCCAGGUCCUGCUGCAUAAUGACGAGUCCCCGGAGCCCCCCGAUAGUGAUCGAUAGCCCCCGCCUCGCUCUGGGGCUCGCAUAAUGAGCUGUGCAGCCCGGCCAGAGUCGCCAGCGUCCCCAGCCAGCCUCGGGGAAGCCUCCCCUCCCCCACCAUCCACUCCAACGGCCACCGGCCCCCUCCCCACCCGCCACCUCGGUUGGGUUUCCCCUUGAUUGGCAGAGGCCUGUUAUUUCCGCCCGGGCUGCCUGACAGCCCCUCCGCCUGGUCUAAUUAUGCCGCUCUGUUCGGGCCACCGCGACCCCAGGAAGGCUUUAUCAGAUUGUCCAACUGACCGUGACCAGAUCUCCAGCACCUGCCUCCCUUGCCGAUGGAGGAGGGAAGGUGCUUACACGCAGCAGAGCUGGGGGCUGAUUGACUGGCCGGGCUCCUGGGCUGGGGACGGCCCGUCUGGGUGUCAGGGAUGAAGAAUGGAGUCGCCUCACCACCCAGCCUCAUUAAGGCCCGUCCAGGUCUAGACAGUAUCCAGUGGGGGGUGGGGGGGAGGUGGUGAGCACAGCGCCUGCUGCCAUUGUUCGGGGCUCCAGGGACACGUUUGAGGCCGCAGCCGGGUCCUUGGGUCCGUCUCUUACCAUUUUUAUGUCCUCUGCACCCCCAGCCCUUCCCUUUAACAGUCGUCCAUCCCCUGCUUCCUGUUCAUCCUUCUCCAAUCCCCCCUAAGUGUGGCCUCCUACCUUCCUUCUAGUAUCAGAGGCAGCCAAUCAGAAUUACUGUCUGGGGUUGGUUGCUUUUGCUGUCGUGAGUGUCCCACUCGUGAAUGGAACCUCUGGCACUGCCCACCUAGUUCAGGCGGCCAUGGGUGCUUCUGGCUACACAGCAUUUCUGGAGGGCAGCCCAGCAUUGGGGCACUCCUCUGGUGGCUGUGGGAACUGGCUCCUUUUGAUAGGAACAUUAAGUCAUCAGUGUCCUUCAGAGUUCCAUCUAGAUCACUUGCUCGUUGGUCACUACGGCGACCUGAGGAGGUGAGAGUUUUCCAAAAGCCAAGCCAUUUCUGCCCUCCUGGGUGAUGGGAUUUGGGCUGAGCCAAGCCCCCGCAUCUAAGAAUCAUGGACUGGGCUUUGCUUCUCAAACUGUGAGCCCUGGACCAGCCUCAGCAUCACCUGGGAAUGCAGCCUACUGUCAUGUGACCCACCUGAAGAUGCCUCCACUGGGGGCAAGACUUGCACUCGAGGAGUAAAGCACUAAUCCACAAAACUGCCUUGCAAUGGAAUUGCCUUGACAAGAAUCACUUGAAAAUGUGAGCGUCCUCCUGAUGCUGCACCGUGGAAAUCGGGAUGAGUUACCAGACCCCCACCAGCCUCAUUGCUCACUUCCUUAGACUGUCCUCAUAAGGAAGGGAGACGUGGAUCUGCAGGUCACCGUUCUCCUGGAUUGGAGAGUUCAUUAGGUCACUUCUGAAACCUCUGUGCCAGCUAAGCAAGAAACAAUGAGUCCCCUGCAAGCUUUUAUUUAUUAUUACAGCCCUCCAACUGUACAUCCCACUCACCCCUUUGCUCCUGUGGCUGGUCAAGCUAAUUUGAUUUGACAUCCUGGCAUUUGAGAUUUGUCAAGUAUUGUAACCCUAAGCGGUACUAAUAUUGAAAACCAUACUCGAAAUUUAUAUAAUCCAGAUGUGCAUGCCAAUAGAGCAGAUGAAAUGGCAGGCUUGGGCCAGGGUGUGUGUGUGUGUGUGUGUGUGUGCGCGCGUGUGUGUACACGUGUGUUAACAAUCCUGUUGCCCUAUAUUUUUUCCACAGGGUAUAUAUAGCCAAGAAGGAUUUUAUGUAUUAAUAUUUUCCCUUAAGAAUAGUAACUGGAUUAUGACAUAUAGCUUUAAGUAAGUAUCAGCAUUGGUUUUAUUUGCAGCCAAGAAUAACUGAUUAAGUUUGGGGGAGCAGGAAGGUCUAUUCUAAAUGCUUUUUAAAACUUCUAAAUUGGUCAGGACCCUUCAGCAGUGCGGUCUGGGGAAUUAUUAGUCACACCGAGUCGGGAUUUUUGACAGGUCUCUCUUUAAUGUCAAAUUUCUUUUUCCUACUUGGACAUGUCAUUCUUCCCGUUGGAGGGCCUUUGGUGUGAUCCUGAAGACUUUGACUCCUGAGCUGGUAUUUCUGAGCCCUCCCACGUUGGUAAAUGCCCAGAGGCCGUUUCUCUUUUCUGUAAGCUCAACAAGUGGCUGAGUUGAACUCGCAGAGAUCUCUCUGUCCCAGUGCGUGACAGCGACCUUGCUUGGAGUGCUUGGGUGUCUCCUGUCUCCGCCGGCCAGCGGUGCCCCCCGUGACGCCUCUAGCAGGAUGGUCCCUCCUCUGGCCGUCGCUCCGCUCACCUGUGAAGACGACCACGGCCGACCCGAUAGAGCAGUGCGUGCGGCUCGGUGGUGGUGUUCUCGACAUGAAAGGGCGGCGGGAUGUAUGAUUAUUCCUUCGCCCGCUGUCAUAAUUAACUAUCCUCAACUUGACCCAGCAGGCCGGGGAAAACUGGCCGUACCAGCUCAGUAGCAGCAGCUGAGAGAUGAUACAGAAAGGAGACCCAGAGCUGACGCCCACGGAUGGGGGGGCCGUGUGGCCUUGGAGCUGCACCGGGCCCAGGGUCCUCCCAGGCUAUUGCGAGAUGGGAAGUGAAAGGUCCCGGUGCUGUGCCAGCCCCUCCCAGGGCAGAAUGGGAGGAAAAUGACGCCUGAUGUUCAGGGGAGGCUCGUGGCAAGUCGUCGCCCCCCUGUGUCCCCUCCACGGGGUGGCUCUGGAGAACGUCUAGCACGCCGGUUCCGAGGCGGGCAGGACGGAACCCUCCUCGCGGGGGCAGGUGGGGCGUCCACCAGCUGUCCUGGGGACGUGCUGUACGGCCCUAACUCCAAGAGGCCGAGGGGGACCCUGCCCGUACCUCUGACUCCCCCCCGCAGAGCGGUGCCCGGGGCCCCGGCCCUGUCCCCACGCGGGACCGGAGGAGGGAAUGCCGGCGUGCAUCCAAGCUAAGUAGAUGCCGAAUGAUGGGCUCUCAUUUCCCUGUCGGGGUCUGGAUCGGGGUCGGAGGGGAGGGCGUCCGUGUGUAUGCGGCCCCGUGGUUGGUGUAGUUGGCAGGUGCUCCAGGCCCGGGGAGUAGAGUGAGAGAUCCAGAGCGCAGGCGCCUGUCACCACCCGGGCAGGUG